AUUGAACGCUGGCGGCAUGCCUUACACAUGCAAGUCGAACGGCAGCACGAGAGCAAUCCUGGUGGCGAGUGGCGAACGGGUGAGUAAUAUAUCGGAACGUGCCCAGUCGUGGGGGAUAACGCAGCGAAAGCUGUGCUAAUACCGCAUACGAUCUAAGGAUGAAAGCGGGGGAUCGCAAGACCUCGCGCGAUGGGAGCGGCCGAUAUCAGAUUAGCUAGUUGGUGGGGUAAAGGCCCACCAAGGCGACGAUCUGUAGCUGGUCUGAGAGGACGACCAGCCACACUGGAACUGAGACACGGUCCAGACUCCUACGGGAGGCAGCAGUGGGGAAUUUUGGACAAUGGGCGCAAGCCUGAUCCAGCAAUGCCGCGUGCAGGAUGAAGGCCUUCGGGUUGUAAACUGCUUUUGUACGGAACGAAACGGCCCUUUCUAAUACAGGGGGCUAAUGACGGUACCGUAAGAAUAAGCACCAGCUAACUACGUGCCAGCAGCCGCGGUAA
rnacentral:rRNA from 1 species